UCAGUCAAUAACUCAGACUCCCUAAUAGCGUCACCAGAGGAAGAUUGCUAUAGACGGAUAUUGUGGCUUCAUUUUUGUACAGUGGGAGGAAGCGGAGACGCCCAUCUUUUAUACGUGAAUGUUUUGAAGCUAACCUGAACAGGACCUUUAAAGUCAGUGUGUGGAAACGAGGCUAAACAACGAUCCGGACUACAGGAAGAUGAAAUCCUGGUUCUGCUGCUGCCUCUCUCUCAGCUACCUGAGGCUCCUGAAUAACUUUGUAGCAAUUAAACAGCCGUCCCAUUGACAUGCCUUUCAAAGUUGGUCGUGUUUUAUCUCUCCUCUCUAUAAGGAGAGGUCACACCCGUGUGAGGGCUCAGUGUGUGAUGUAUGGUCGGGACCGGGUGCUCCUUUGCUGACAAGGCCCGGCUGCCCGCCUCAGAUAAGAGCCGGGGUAUGCAUCAACUGUGUGUGUGAGAGAUACAAGUACUACCGCAGUAUGUGUCAUACACGUCGUCUGGCCAGCGCGAUGCAUCACAGCUGAAUGUGUAUGACACACAGACACACACAGACACACACGGGGCUGUGCGCAUGCCUAAUCUGCGUUGGAGAUACAAUGCCAGGCAGCGUUUAUCUGCACUGUGAGACCUUCAGGUUCAUCCUGCAUGACUCAAGUCUCCUGGAGAAGAUUUCAUACUGAGGAUGCAGCACUGCUGACACGAGCUUGAAGUAGAAUCUCUGUUAGUAAAAUUAAAACGUUGGAUAAUAGCGUGUGAAACCGAUGAUACAUGAUGAUACAGUACAACAGUCAUUGAAGUCAGCUUCUCCCGGUUAGGAUUCCUUCAGUGUUCAUGGUUCAGGAGGUUUCUACCGGCCUCCUCCUCUCAAACAAACAGACCCGCUGAUUAAAACCGCUAAAAACACUGAAUAAAGCAGUUCCACCUUAAAAAUCACUGCUUCUCCCACACUAUUCAAUGUUUGACAGCUUCUGGCAGACAACCACAACGCUGACACAGGCACAAAGGGGAUAUGACGCCACUGACAGGCGACCGGUGAAACACAGCGUUACCUGAAUAAAAUGACAGAUUUUUCUGAGUUUGAACAUUGUUGGAAACAUUUGGGAUAAUGUCCCAUGGAGGUCACCGGUGGGGAAGGGACGUCGCCUCUCUACAGGAUUUAAAUUUCAGCUGCACGCUGCUGUGAACACGAUGGACAGAAACUCCCCAGGAAGACAGUUCAUGUUUGAUGCCUCACAUGAGCAAACCUUGUCUAAAAUAUUCUGUCUGUGCAUACAGGAACUACUGUAUCACCCAUAAUCCCUGUGUAAGUCAGCCAAGUAUCUGUAUUAGUCUGUUACUGUGGAUCUCCAUUAAAGGAGCUGAAGAUAACAGACAGAGAUUCCCCUCCUCUCCUCCACAGCUCGGAGGAUUCGUCCACUCUGUCCUGUAACCUGAAGCUGCCCUGUGGACCUGGUCUUACCUGUGCUGGCUCCGCUCACAGAGAGCCGCUGGACAGAGUCUGGCAGAUUAUCCAUCAGUCUGAUAGAGGGGCAGAGGAGAAGAUAAAACAGUGAGGACAGAAGCAUUAUGGGAACAAGCUGAAUCCACAUCCAGCAAACUGUCCUGUGUUGUAAUUAGUGUUCUAGUACUCUAGCAUUUGUAGUACUAAUAUAUGUUGAGUUCAAUCUCCAUCAGUCUCUAAAACUGAAGCUUACACUGCAAAAAAGGAAUCUCAAGAAAGUCUUGUUUCUGGGAAGUGAGUCUUAUUUCUUUUCUAAAAAGAAAAAUAAUCUUGUCGAGCAUAUUUUGCACUAGAAAAGUAAUCUGGUUGUUGUAAUUGAGUUUGAUUCAACCUGUAACAACAAUGGUUGCGUAAUAUCCCAGCAGAGGAACAAGAUCAUUUUCCUUAUUUUUCAGAGUAAGAGCACAGCUUCUCAGUUUAAGAGAAAGGUGUCUCGUCCCAGGGUUGGAAAUGAAUGGUGCCUUCAUUUAAAACAGUACAAGUGACUACCGACCUGGCCUUGGCCUCCUGGACCUGAGUUGGGUUCUUGAGAACUUUGUUCCACGGCAGAGAACCGCAUAACCAGUGAAGAAGACAAAAACCCAAAAUCUGGAGGUCACCACGUCUGGAUGGAGCUAAAAGAGACAGAAAGACGGUCUGCUGUUAAUAUUCUGUUACAUGCUGCUUGUUUCUUUUACCCAUAAAUCAUUUCAGUUUGUGAAAUACUGACUCAGCUCUUUCAUUUAAAUAACAUAUUUUAUGGUCAGCUAGUGCUUUUUAUCUUUCUUUAGAUUUUCUACUUACACUGAGGCAAAUUCCUCGCAUGUGAAAACCUUCACAAUAAACUGAACUCUGACUCCGA